rnacentral:rRNA from 1 species
CCCCCGCGGUAAUACGAAGGGUGCAAGCGUUACUCGGAAUUACUGGGCGUAAAGCGUGCGUAGGUGGUGGUUUAAGUCUGCUGUGAAAGCCCUGGGCUCAACCUGGGAAUUGCAGUGGAUACUGGAUCACUAGAGUGUGGUAGAGGGAUGCGGAAUUUCUGGUGUAGCAGUGAAAUGCGUAGAGAUCAGAAGGAACAUCCGUGGCGAAGGCGGCAUCCUGGGCCAACACUGACACUGAGGCACGAAAGCGUGGGGAGCAAACAGGAUUAGAUACCCUGGUAGUCCACGCCCUAAACGAUGCGAACUGGAUGUUGGGUGCAACUUGGCACCCAGUAUCGAAGCUAACGCGUUAAGUC